AAUGAACGCUGGCGGCGUGCCUAAUACAUGCGAGUCGAGCGAACGGACGAGAAGCUUGCUUCUCUGAUGUUAGCGGCGGACGGGUGAGUAACACGUGGAUAACCUACCUAUAAGACUGGGAUAACUUCGGGAAACCGGAGCUAAUACCGGAUAAUAUUUUGAACCGCAUGGUUCAAAAGUGAAAGACGGUCUUGCUGUCACUUAUAGAUGGAUCCGCGCUGCAUUAGCUAGUUGGUAAGGUAACGGCUUACCAAGGCAACGAUGCAUAGCCGACCUGAGAGGGUGAUCGGCCACACUGGAACUGAGACACGGUCCAGACUCCUACGGGAGGCAGCAGUAGGGAAUCUUCCGCAAUGGGCGAAAGCCUGACGGAGCAACGCCGCGUGAGUGAUGAAGGUCUUCGGAUCGUAUAACUCUGUUAUUAGGGAAGAACAUAUGUGUAAGUAACUGUGCACAUCUUGACGGUACCUAAUCAGAAAGCCACGGCUAACUACGUG
rnacentral:rRNA from 1 species